CUCUCUCAACUCUCUCCCUCUUUUCCGAGCAGCGUCUUGGAUUCUCUAUGUUACCUCUUCGGUUGGGUCUUUGGUUGUGGUGCAUUCAGCGUUUGACAACCAUAAAGGUUCAAUUUCCGUGGGUCUUGGGUUGGGCGAUCUUGGUGAAUUUGGUUGAGGUUUCAGCCAAGGUGGUGGUUCUGGUUCUUCGGCCGGUUUGGAGGACUGGGUCAUGCUCGUUUUGUCGCGACGAAGAAGCAAGAUAUUUGAAGUGGCUACAUUGAAAAGCUUCAUGGAUCCCUGUGGAUAACUUGAAGUCGAGAAUCCUGGUGCAGAUAGAGAAGUCCUCGCACAAUCCCCAAAACAAUGUCAAGACGCUUUGGCCAUGUCAGCAGUGCACUCCCAUUUUGUUC